AUGUCGACGGGCGACAUCGCCGGCGUCGAGCACGUGAUGGACUGCUGCCUCCCGGCCUCCCCGGUCUCCCCCGCCGCCCACCUCUCCGCCGCCGCCUCCUCCUCCUCCGACGGCGAGGACCGCAUCUGCGCGCUCCCCGACACCCUCCUGCGCAACGUCGUCUCCCGCCUCCCCGUCAAGGAUGCCGCCCGCACCGGCGCGCUCUCGCACCGCUGGCGCGGGCUCUGGCGCGCCACCCCGCUCGCCCUCGACGACUCCCACCUCCUCCCGUCCCCUGUCCCCGCCGCCGCGUUGGUGUCCCGCGUCCUCGCCUCCCACCCCGGCCCCUUCCGCGCCGUCCGCAUCGCCGAGAUCCCCAUCGACGAGUCCAACGAGGAGGCGCUCCUCCCGGAGUGGCUCCGCCACCUCGCCAACAAGGGCGUGGAGGAGCUGACCCUCGUCAACCGCCCCUACUCCUUCGACGAGCCCGUGCAGCUACCCGCAACCCUCCUCCGCUGCGGGGCCUCGCUCCGCCGCCUCUACCUCGGCGUCUGGCUCUUCCCCUUCACCACCGGCCUCCCGCGCGGCCCCGACGUCUUCCCCCACCUCCAGGAGCUCGGCCUCUGCCACGGCAUCACGGAGGAGCGCGACCUCGACUACGUGCUCUCCUGCAGCCCCAAGCUGGAGACCCUGGCGCUCAUCUCCAACUACGGCUACCCCGACCGCGUCCGCAUCGGCAGCCGCAGCCUCCGUUGCUUGCUGCUCUGGCAUUCCUUGGCGGACGAGGUCGCCGCCGUGUCCGCCCCAAACCUGCAGCGCCUCAUUAUCUACUGUACGCACCCAACCGAAGAUAGGCCAUGCUCCCCAGCUCGCCGUGCUCGGCAACACCAUCAUCAAGACUGGGGUGACAAACACAGUGGUUCCAAGCGUCAAGUUGUUAGCUCUGAAGGUCCGUUUCAGAGUGCCCAAAGAAGUCAGAACUUUGCUGUGUUUCUUGAGAUGCUUUCCUGGAGUAGAGACCUUACACAUCAUGGCUUCCGACAACGACACCGACCACUACGAUGA
rnacentral:rRNA from 1 species